rnacentral:rRNA from 1 species
GAUGAACGCUGGCGGCGUGCCUAAUACAUGCAAGUCGAGCGAACGGACGAGAAGCUUGCUUCUCUGAUGUUAGCGGCGGACGCGUGAGUAAAACGUGGAUAACCUACCUAUAAGACUGGGAUAACUUCGGGAAACCGGAGCUAAUACCGGAUAAUAUUUUGAACCGCAUGGUUCAAAAGUAAAAGACGGUCUUGCUGUCACUUAUAGAUGGAUCAGCGCUGCAUUAGCUAGUUGGUAAGGUAACGGCUUACCAAGGCAACGAUGCAUAGCCGACCUGAGAGGGUGAUCGGCCACACUGGAACUGAGACACGGUCCAGACUCCUACGGGAGGCAGCAGUAGGGAAUCUUCCGCAAUGGGCGAAAGCCUGACGGAGCAACGCCGCGUGAGUGAUGAAGGUCUUCGGAUCGUAAAACUCUGUUAUUAGGGAAGAACAUAUGUGUAAGUAACUGCGCACAUCUUGACGGUACCUAAUCAGAAAGCCACGGCUAACUACGUG